rnacentral:rRNA from 1 species
AAUGAACGCUGGCGGCAUGCCUAACACAUGCAAGUCGAACGAGACCAUCGGGACUAGUGGCGUACGGGUGCGUAACGCGUGGGAAGCUGCCCUUAGGUUCGGAAUAACUCCCUGAAAGGGGUGCUAAUAUCGGAAAAUGUCCUCGGACCAAAGAUUUGUCUCAUUUGGAAGGGCCGGCGUUGGAUUAGCCGGUUGGUAGGGUAAAAGCCUAUCAAGGCGACGAUCCAUAGCUGGUCUGAGAGACUGAUCAGCCACUCUGGGGCUGGGACGCGGCCCGGACUCUUGCGGAAUGCAGCAGAGGCUGAUAUUGGACUAUCGGGUGAAGCAUGAUCCAGCUCGGCCUCUAGAGUGAUGUAGGCCGUAGGGUUGUAAAGCACUUUUACCCGGGAUGAUAAUGACGGUACCGGGAGAAUAAGCACCGGCUAACUCCGUG